AGCAAACGAAUUAUUAGUUCCUUGACACUCGCCGCUAUUAAACCUUGUUUACUUGACCAAGAUGAAGCGUGUUAUAAUUGUUGCUGCAUUGGUAAUGAUGGUGAUUGCAAUUGCAAGUUUUGGCAUCGUGGAAGCGAAAAGAAACUUUGAUCUGAACUGUGGAAUAUGGAAAGAAUGUCAUGCAGUCUCGACUGUUCCUGGGGCUGUUACAAAAUGUGGACCAAAACCCACUGGUUGUAGUGCAACAGUAAACUGGGGCUAGAAAAUAAAACAAAAUUGAUAACACCCUGCGCAUGGUAUUUUUACUACGGAAUCAAAUUCAACAUGUGAAAUACAGCUUUGAUUUAAAAAAAACUCAGUUGAAUUUCUUUAUAACACUGUUCAAUUAAAACACUUCUUGAAGAGUUGUGUUUACUUAUUGAUUUUUGGGUGCGUUUAGUGUUGCGUUUGAAACACAAAUUUGUUCAAUAUUUGAAAACAAAACGAAUUUACUUGCACUGUUCCUCGGAUAAACUGAUACUAAAAUGUAAAGGGCGUUUUUGAAUUGAUUACCAGCUAGUCUAAUCAAAUCCCCGCAGUUGAAUCAUUUCCAC